rnacentral:lncRNA from 1 species
UCUUGGAGUUCUAGCUCACCAUUCUGGUGUUGUUCUUGUACUCAUCUGUUUAAUCUAGUUCUGCCACUUCUUCUUGAACUUCUUGUUAGAUUUCAAGUCUGUAUUUUGUGUCCGUGACAGUUUGUCGAGACUACACUAACUUGAGAUAUCAGAGCUAGUUCUUUCUUAGUAGAGUGUGGAUUACCCCUCUACUUGAAGGUAUACUAGCAUUUUUUUAGAGGUUGCGGAUUACCCUCCUCUAAAUUGAUACUUCUUCUGUUACAAUAUUGGAGUCUUAUUCUUCUUGGAGAGAGUGGAUUACCCCUCUUCUUGAAAUUCUUAAGGCAUUUUAUAGGUUGUGGAUUACCCUCCUAUAAACCAAUAUUGUCUCUUAUAGGGUCAUUUUUGUCCUUCUUUUAGAAUGGCUGGAGGUCAAGACAUUAGUAUGAUAGAAAGUUCGGAGUCUAAGUUAGAUGCUAUUAUGAAUGCCCUCGCUACAUUAUCACAAAGAACUGCAGAGAUUGAAGGAGUAGUGGCAAGGCUUCAUAAUAAUGGAGUAUCUGGGAUAGCACAAUCUAAACUACACCAGCCUCAAAUUUUGGCACUUGGAGAAACAACUUUACCUCAGGUUCGACAAGAACCAUUAGUUCUAUAACAUAAGGAGCCUCGAGUUAGC